ensembl:lncRNA
CUUUCCUCAUCUCUACUAUUUGCGAUUGGACUAGGAGAGACCCAAUCCGCUAUCUCAAACGUCCAUUGGAGAGCCGAAACUUCGCUCUCCGACUUGCUAACAGUCGAUUGGUCGAUAGCUCUCCAAAUUCCCCUUCUUUGCCGCACCUUCGCCCGCUCUGAAGAGGUCAAUCUAAUCUCAUUAUUCAGUGACCAGAGAAGUGGAAAACUAUUGGUCGAGAGAGCCCGUCAGGCCGGGCUGGAGUGAGCUCUGAUUGGUCGAUACAGGGGAUAAAGUCUCUGGAAAUGCUUUCACAUCUGGAAAGAAUCAUGGCCUUUCCCCCAUCAUCCAGAGAAGCCUGAAUAUGUCCAGUCUCCUCUGCUCCCAGACUGGGUGAAUUGCAAGCCAAAGCAAGAGAAAUCUUAGAGUGAAGGUUCUAUGUGUGAAGAUCAGACUCUUCUUUCUAUAGGUGGAAGUGCUGAGUCAAACUGUGGAUACCUGAAAAGUGCUGUAAUGUAAAUAAGAUUAAAAAAUUAUUGCCAAAGAGCUCUGUUUUUUGAAGGUAAGAUUAUUUCUAAAUAUCCAAGAAAGGAUAUCCCAGAAGAACUGAAAAAUUGUAUCAUCUAGUGAACUGUUCAGAUACUACUAAAUUGAAAAGAAACAAAAGAGCAUGAUAAAGGGCUGAUGACACUGUGGUGGUAUUAUUAAAUGAGUAUAGCAUUUUAGGGUCUUACCAGAAUAUAUUGCUGGGAGAGGGGGACAGGAUGCAUGGUCAAUGCUCAAUAAUUGCUUCUAGGAUAAAUAAUACAAAAGCCUAUAUAUUUGUAAGUGUGGG